rnacentral:rRNA from 1 species
GACGAACGCUGGCGGCGUGCCUAAUACAUGCCAGUUGAGCGCUGAAGGUUGGUACUUGUACCAACUGGAUGAGCAGCGAACGGGUGAGUAACGCGUGGGGAAUCUGCCUUUGAGCGGGGGACAACAUUUGGAAACGAAUGCUAAUACCGCAUAAAAACUUUAAACACAAGUUUUAAGUUUGAAAGAUGCAAUUGCAUCACUCAAAGAUGAUCCCGCGUUGUAUUAGCUAGUUGGUGAGGUAAAGGCUCACCAAGGCGAUGAUACAUAGCCGACCUGAGAGGGUGAUCGGCCGCAUUGGGACUGAGACACGGCCCAAACUCCUACGGGAGGCAGCAGUAGGGAAUCUUCGGCAAUGGACGAAAGUCUGACCGAGCAACGCCGCGUGAGUGAAGAAGGUUUUCGGAUCGUAAAACUCUGUUGGUAGAGAAGAACGUUGGUGAGAGUGGAAAGCUCAUCAAGUGACGGUAACUACCCAGAAAGGGACGGCUAACUACGUG